CGAGCUGACAGAAUGAACGAAGGAAGAACGUUUCAGCCAACAGUCAAACAUAAUUCUGAUUUUCCUUUUGUUGACAGACAAUUUUUUCUUUUUCUAUUGUACACCUUUCUCAAACUGCUUCUAUGUG
rnacentral:ribozyme from 1 species